rnacentral:rRNA from 1 species
UACGUAGGGGGCAAGCGUUGUCCGGAAUCAUUGGGCGUAAAGGGCGCGUAGGCGGGAUGGCAAGUCGGUCGUGAAAUCCUUCGGCUCAACCGAAGAACGUCGGCCGAUACUGCCGUUCUUGAGGGAUGCAGAGGAGAUUGGAAUUCCCGGUGUAGCGGUGAAAUGUGUAGAGAUCGGGAGGAACACCGGUGGCGAAGGCGGGUCUCUGGGCAUCUCCUGACGCUGAGGCGCGAAAGCGUGGGGAGCAAACGGG